rnacentral:lncRNA from 1 species
GUGAGAGCCUCUUCUGGGUUCCAGACAUUUAAGCAAUUCUGCUCUGCCUCACGCUCACCACAGGUCUUCAAGCAACAGGACUGAAUGAGUGUACAUCCCUUCUUGUCAAAGCUGUCAUCUCGGGUACUCGCCACAGCAAUGGGAAGAUGACUCAGGGGAAACCUGAACAGGGCCCAUCUAAGCUGUAUGAACAACGGUGUCACACUGUGAGAGACUAACUGAAUGGACUUGGAACAAACAAACGCAGCAGGAAACAGGACUCAAAUGUCAGUGCAAGCUAAGAAGCAUGCUUCUUUUCUUCCACUAAGUGUACCAUGUCCUCUCCAUGACAAGGCAACCACAGUUCAGCCACAAAACCAUCAGUAAUAUAAGACACUAAACAGGGCAGAAAUGAAUCGCCGAUAGAUAACCCUUCAAUCACAGAAAAAUAAAAACUGAA